UAGAUACCCCACUAUGCUUAGUCGUAAACUUAAAUAGUCCCAAWACAAGACUAUUCGCCAGAGUACUACCGGCAACAGCCCAAAACUCAAAGGACUUGGCGGUGCUUCAUAUCCUUCUAGAGGAGCCUGUUCUGUAAACGAUAAACCACGAUUAACCUCACCAACCCUUGCUACUUCAGUCUAUAUACCGCCAUCUUCAGCAAACCCUAAAAAGGAACGAAAGUAAGCACAACUAUUGCACGUAAAAACGUUAGGUCAAGGUGUAACCUAUGGGUUGGGAAGAAAUGGGCUACAUUUUCUAUAAUAAGAACACCCCUUUAAACCUACACGAAAGUUUUUAUGAAAUCUAAAAACUAAAGGAGGAUUUAGCAGUAAAUUAAGAAUAGAAUGCUUAAUUGAAUAAGGCCAUGAAGCACGCACACACC
rnacentral:rRNA from 1 species